GAACAGCCGCUGCAUGCAUGCUGGUCUACAUCACUUCCAAAGGUCUGACUGUCAGAGCAGAAACAGUCACCAAACAGGCAGUCAGUGCGGGUGGCUGCGCCGCGGCCCGGCAUGGCGGCACCACCAAGAGCCCACAGCCGGCUGGCGGUUACCGGCAGGAAUGUGAGGAAUGAGAGACUCGUGGAUCCUGUCAGCUCUAAUAAGAUCAUCUCAAUGUGUUUGAUGAAGCUGUGAUGUGGGGGAGCAGCAGGUCUACUCCAAGCUCCCUCCAGUUGACCGAGUUCCUCACCCUAUUUCUAAGGGAGAACCUGGCUUAAAUCUCACUUUGGACGCUUGUAUCCUGGACCUUUUUUCAGUUAUGACCAAUGUUCUUGACCUUUGAUGAGUGUUGGGAGAAAGAUUUUUUGUCUAUCUUCUACUCCAUUCUUCCCUCACUCUUGAACAAAACCACAAGAUGUUAAAACUCCUCCACCCGGGAUAAGGGUCACCCACCCACAGAGGACAACCCACCUCUCUCCGGGAACCAUGCCUCAGACGUGGCGACACCGGUCCUCAUCCCAGCUGCUUCACAAAUACAAACCACACCAAAGGCACGAUGGAUGUUUUGCCUCUGUGAAACCAACAGGACAACUUUAUCUGGAAAAUCCAGCUCUAAUAAAAUAAAUAGAGCUGAUUUGUUAAAAACAAAAAUAAAUCAGUCUAUUCUGAAA